GGAAUUCUCGUCAACGACAACAACAAUGGCAUAUCCAUUAUUCACUCUCCCUCAAGGGCUUCUGUUGGUUUUCUGGUCGACCGAAUGACCAAGUACCUACACGGAAGACCUUAGGGAGAGUGGAAAAUACUUGCCAUUUGAUUUCAUGGAAUUAUUGCUCUACUCCGAGAAUUUC
rnacentral:pre_miRNA from 1 species